GUCGAGUGCGCCUGUCCCUGUGGUGGGAGCAGUGGCGCCGAGCGUGCCCACGGGCCGCCGCUUGGGUUUCUCUCGUGUUCAGGGUAGUAUGGACGUGGACAAUGGCAGUGGCCCCUGGCUGGCCCAAGAGCCGGGUCCAGAUACGCGCGCCUGAUUCCAGGCGUCAUAACCAACCCGGGGCCGCGAGGCUGGGAUCAGGCACCCCGGAGCCGCUUGCCCGUGGCCGGGCUGCUCUCCCCCUCUAAGCCUAAGCACCGCCAGUCGCGGCGCUGCGCUUUCCGCCGACCUCCCAGAGCGUCCCGCCGUCGCCGGCGGCCAGCCUCGCGCAGGACCAGUGUGGCGCCGCCCUGCUGUUGCUGGGGGGCGCCCGAGGCCUCCAUUCCUUGCCCAGGCUUCCGGCUCUCGGGGCGGCCUCCCUUCCGCCCACGCUCCAGGGCUUCCCCGGCUCCCGAGCUCCGAGCUUCCACCACAUCGGCCGGCUCAGGACAGGGCUUCCACUGUAAAGUCGGCUGCCAGACGUGUUGGAGCUCACCGGAUUUGUCCCUGGUGCCUUAUUUAGUUCACUUGGUGAGGUCAUGUUUUUUUCCUGGAUGGUGUUGAUGGUAGUAGAUGUUCUUCAGUGUCUGGACAUUAAAAUCUUGGGCAUGCAGCACCAUAUGAGAGGUUUAAAAAAUAAAAUUAAAAAAGAGAAAAGAACCCAGAGUUGAUCUCUGCAGCAUGCCAUCACUGCUGGGGAUGAGGAAACGGUGAUUUCAGGACUGUUUUUUCUGUCUCUUCAGUGCCUCUUUCAGUGAUCUGAGGUUAAAACCAGACUAUGGAGGAUUCAUCAACAGACCAGGAAGCAACAGCCUGGGCUCCAGAAUUGACCAGUAGUCCGUGCACAGACGAGGAGAGGUCCCAUGAAACUUCGGCGCAGUCUGGGAACCGAGCUCUUUUUGUAACAAGUUGUUUGUCAGGAGGCCCGGUCAUGAAAGCCCUUCCUGACUGGGCUCAAGGAAUACAAAAAGGACAACUUGUUUUUGCCAUUGUCUGUUGUUUUUCAAUAACUAGUUCUCCGAAACAGCACUGGAUGAAUGCCUCAAGGGGCUCACACAACUCGUUCCAGGACUUAGUGACCAUUGUUUCUGUCCCUGUUCAAUAGAGUUCAAAUUUAAUAUUUAAAUUUUGCUCCACAAUGUGCCAUAUUAUCUGUAUCCAACCUGUCAUUGGGCAUUUAGGUUGAUUCCAUGUCUUUACUAUUGUGAAUAAUGCUGCAAUAAACAUUUACGUGCUUGUGUCUUUA
rnacentral:lncRNA from 1 species